AACCGAGAACUCCUACGGGAGGCAGCAGUGGGGAAUAUUGGACAAUGGGCGAAAGCCUGAUCCAGCCAUGCCGCGUGUGUGAAGAAGGUCUUCGGAUUGUAAAGCACUUUAAGUUGGGAGGAAGGGCAUUAACCUAAUACGUUGGUGUCUUGACGUUACCGACAGAAUAAGCACCGGCUAACUCUGUGCCAGCAGCCGCGGUAAUACAGAGGGUGCAAGCGUUAAUCGGAAUUACUGGGCGUAAAGCGCGCGUAGGUGGUUUGUUAAGUUGAAUGUGAAAUCCCCGGGCUCAACCUGGGAACUGCAUCCAAAACUGGCAAGCUAGAGUAUGGUAGAGGGUAGUGGAAUUACCUGAGUAGCGGUGAAAUGCGUAGAUAUAGGAAGGAACCCCAGUGGCGAAGGCGACUACCUGGACUGAAACAGUCACUGAGGUGCGAAAGCGUGGGGAGCAAACAGGAUUAGAAACCCUUGUAGUCCGACUGAGA
rnacentral:rRNA from 1 species